GUUAGGACUACUGGUUCCCGACGUUUGGGCGCGACAAUCAAUGUUGCUGAACCCAGCAAGUCCUUUACGAGAUUACGACCAGUGAACUCCCGGGCCAGCGACGUUUGGACUCUUUUUCUUUCGUGUUGUUUACGAAUUAGUCGAGAAUUUUGUGAAAUCGCAAGAAUGUCUGGCCAGCGAAGGCCUGGAGUUCGUGGACGGCAAGCAGUUGUUUAAGGGGCUUCCUUGCCUGUGUUAUUUUUUAAGUCUUGUGUUAUUUUUUAAGUUAUUAUUUUUUUUUCCUUAUGUCCUGCCGAAGUGUAACCAAGCGCUGUUUAAAUUUACGUUUGAUCGUGAUUGCCAUAUGUAAAUCUACCCAGAAAAAUUGUACAACCGUGAACGAAGAAUUUUGUAUUUAUGUUGUUUAAUACAUUAACAUUUGAACUACAA